rnacentral:rRNA from 1 species
UACGUAGGGCGCAAGCGUUGUCCGGAAUUAUUGGGCGUAAAGAGCUCGUAGGCGGUCUGUUACGUCCGCUGUGAAAACCCAGGGCUUAACCCGUGGGCUGGCAGUGGAUACGGGCAGACUAGAGGUAGGUAGGGGAGAAUGGAAUUCCCGGUGUAGCGGUGAAAUGCGCAGAUAUCGGGAGGAACACCGGUGGCGAAGGCGGUUCUCUGGGCCUUACCUGACGCUGAGGAGCGAAAGCGUGGGGAGCGAACAGG